UACAGAGGGUGCGAGCGUUGUCCGGAAUCACUGGGCGUAAAGGGCGCGUAGGCGGCUCAUGAAGGCUGUGGUGAAAGUCCGGGGCUCAACCUCGGAUCGGCCGUGGCGACUCGUGGGCUGGAGCACUGUAGAGGCGGGUGGAAUUCCGGGUGUAGCGGUGGAAUGCGUAGGGAUCCGGAAGAACACCAGUGGCGAAGGCGGCCCGCUGGGCAGUGGCUGACGCUGAGGCGCGACAGCGUGGGGAGCAAACAGG
rnacentral:rRNA from 1 species